rnacentral:lncRNA from 1 species
GUUUAAGAGGUUAAAGUAUUUUAUCUGUUAGUCCUGAGACCUGUAUUAUGCAAACAUGUACAUUAUCCUUGUGUUAUUUGAUUGGAACUUGCAAUCAAGCGUGUUUGUUUUUCAUCUGAUAGAAUCUUUAUUAAUAUAUCCAUUGCACACUUGCCCAUCCUUUUGCCCUCUUCGUUUCAGGGUAAGAGGGUGGUGAGUGAGAAGAGUCCAGGCCAUGUGGACAGUAAGAGGGACGAAGGACAGCCGAGGCAUGUGGAGUCGGCGAGAGUGAAACAACCAGCGCGUGUGACCAAGACAGACACAACAGCUCAGGAAGAGGUCAAACAAAACAAAGAGCAAAAUGAUGAGCAUCAGCAGCUAUCAGAGGACCUUCAGAGUCUGUUGGGCAGCACAGAUCUCAACAUCCCAACAUCGAAAGAAGAGCAGGGGAAUAUCUGCGGUGGAAGAAAGAGCGUGAGCAGAUCGACAGAGAGCGAGUCGCACGACACAAGAACGCCAAGGGCCAGUGGAGACGUGCCUGGGACAUGGACAAGUCUGAGAACAUGUGAGGAUCCAUUCUCACAUCCUACUGUCACAUUUACACAUUUGCUUUGUCCUUCUGUUCCUGUUCCUUUUACUCAUAGACACUUAUUAGUAGAGCAACAAAACAUACAUCAUCAGCUGCCCUCUUUUAUGCAAGCGCUCCGUUGUCAGAAUCUUCCGUCGUGGCAAAGGUUUUCCAAAAAUUGGCAUUUGCACUGAGUUGUUUUAGAAUACAUUUCACCUGUCAUGCAAG